GGCGAGAUUGCCGAGUUGAUCUAAGGCGUGAGGGUAGGGUCUUCGGGGGCGUGGGUUCAAAUCCCUCUCUCGUCA
rnacentral:tRNA from 1 species